AUCACUUUUUUCCAAUUUAGAGCUAAUAGCAGGGUCUUGAGACAUUGCCUUCUUUAGGAAUAUUCCUCAUUUACUUGUGUUGUACAUUCAAGGUAACGUUCCAAGUCAGUCUUCCUGAAGCGUGUGCUCACAUCCUGAGGAGAUAUUGUAGCUCCCCUCUUGUGUUCCAGCCUCGUAAUGUGCGCCUCCCACUCCUCCCUUUGGAGCUCCGUGCAUUCCGUGCCCACAGCUAAUGUUUAAGAGUGAAGUUUUCCACAGUCAUCGUUGCACGGACCCCAUCGCUGCCACAUAACAACCCACGCCGCCGCCUUUCAGGAAACCAUCUGCGUUUUCAGGCAGCCAACGGAAGCCGAGUCACAUGGACCGGAGCUGCAAUCAGAGAGAGGUUCUCAAGCUCGAGGGGAGGAGGGGGGGGCCACAGGAAGGCAAGUUGCUCAACUUCUUCUUCUUCUUCUUCUCCUUCGCCAUGGCACAUGCGUCGUAUCGAUAACGAGCCGGUUGCGAGCACAGCUGCGAACCGCAAAAACCCCAUGACGGAACACUCCCUUCACGCUCUUGGCCCUCUGUGAUCAGCAGACUCGCUGGGAGAGGAAGCCAGGCAACAAACACGCCCUUCCUGCCCAACAUAUAUGUUUUACAUCCUAAUAGAACACGUCUUAAACCUUGCUCGGAUGGCUUUGAGGAAUCGGCAACUUGAUUGAUAUCAACCCACUGAGCCGGGGGUCGGGAACCUUUUUGGCUGAGAGAGCCAUGAAAGCCAAAUAUUUUCAAAUGUAUUUCCGUGAGAGUCGUAUAAUAUUUUUAACACUGAAUACAACUGCCAGGUUCAAACACUGAUGACAUUUAUUAAACAGACAAGAAGCAAGGAAUCAAACAGAGACAGGAUUCAAUUUAGCUCAAUGAGGAGAAACCCGUAGACCUGUACUCUUGUACAGUGUCAUCCCACGCUCUGGCAAGAGAAUUCUACGUCUCCUUUUUCAUUUGGACUUUCCCAGAAUAAAACAACUGAA